ACGACGAAGACCUUACCUGGUCUUGACAUCCCGGAGACCCUUAGGAAACUAGGGGGUGCUUCCAUCUGGAAGAAUCUGGAGACAGGUGCUGCAUGGCUGUCGUCAGCUCGUGUCGUGAGAUGUUGGGUUAAGUCCCGCAACGAGCGCAACCCUUGCCUUUAGUUGCCAGCAGUUCGGCUGGGCACUCUAAAGGGACUGCCGGUGUUAAACCGGAGGAAGGUGGGGAUGACGUCAAGUCCUCAUGGCCUUUAUGACCAGGGCUACACACGUACUACAAUGGCCGAUACAAAGGGCAGCGACACUGCGAGGUGAAGCCAAUCCCGUAAAAUCGGUCUCAGUCCGGAUUGGAGUCUGCAACUCGACUCCAUGAAGUUGGAAUCGCUAGUAAUCGUGGAUCAGCAUGCCACGGUGAAUACGUUCCCGGGCCUU
rnacentral:rRNA from 1 species